rnacentral:rRNA from 1 species
GACGAACGCUGGCGGCGUGCUUAACACAUGCAAGUCGAACGGAAAGGCCCUGCUUUUGUGGGGUGCUCGAGUGGCGAACGGGUGAGUAACACGUGAGUAACCUGCCCUUGACUUUGGGAUAACUUCAGGAAACUGGGGCUAAUACCGGAUAGGAGCUCCUGCUGCAUGGUGGGGGUUGGAAAGUUUCGGCGGUUGGGGAUGGACUCGCGGCUUAUCAGCUUGUUGGUGGGGUAGUGGCUUACCAAGGCUUUGACGGGUAGCCGGCCUGAGAGGGGGACCGGCGACAAUGGGACUGAGAGACGGCCCAGACGCCUACGGGAGGCAGCAGUGGGGAAUAUUGCACAAUGGGCGGAAGCCUGAGGCAGCAACGCCGCGUGCGGGAUGACGGCCUUCGGGUGGUAAACCGCUUUCGCCUGUGACGAAGCGUGAGUGACGGUAAUGGGUAAAGAAGCACCGGCUAACUACGUG